UCCCUUGUGGCUCAGAAGGUAAAGAAUCUGCCUUCAGUGCAGGAGACCCAGGUUUGAUCCCUGGGUUGGGAA
rnacentral:tRNA from 1 species